GCCCUUCCGCGAGCCCAGGACACGGGUAAGAUCUUUAUUUCAUUACUCCUUUGUAACGCGGUAAUCUCUCUGGUCCAAUACCUGUAUACCUGUUUGCCAUACAGCUCUGAUUCUUGGAAAAGGGUAAGUGAUCCCUCUUUCGUGACCUGAAGAUCAUGUCUCCUGACCUUGUUUUGUGUUCAGCAGGUGGUGGUGGAGAGCUGUGACCCGUUCGAGCCUAGUGAGGAUGUUCACGGACACAGCAGGAACCCACACCCACAGGAGUCCCCCGUUCUGAUGGGAUCUCCGUGCCUUCUGUUGAUCCCAGCGUACUUUGGUUUGUUCUUCUAUUUUCAGGUUCUGUUCCAUUGCAUGCUUUUCUGCUGUGUUUUUCUUCCUUCCUUUUGUUUUACAGGCUGGAAAUGUACGCCUGAUUGGUUCUAUGGUGACCCAAAUGCCAUGUAGGAAGGUUUGGCCAAGUGUGGUGGGAAAGGAAGAGGACUGGGGACGCCAGCACCAGAUGCCGUUGCACUUCCUGACCUCCCUGGGUGGCAGCGUUGGAAGUGCCUGGACCCUUGGAAAGGGCUAAGUGAUUCCUUCAUCAUUACCAGAAUGUAGUUUGUGUUCAAGAGGAGACGGUGGAGAACUGUGGCCUUUUGAUCAGUGCAAAGCGUCUACUGAGGCUCUAGGUGGAGAGAACGGGAACGCAGAGCCAUAGGCGGAUGCCAAGAUCCACUCCUUCCUCUGCCUGGCAAGCUAUGUUGAUCCCUGAGGUUGUUUCCAUGCUUGCAGGUGUCCUAUGCGCUUGGUGUCGGUUGUUCCUUGCGCUCACUUGGCUUUCACCGAGUGUUGUUGCCUUACAACAUUUUUCCCACCCUCUAUUUCCAAGCAGGAGCUCCCCUUGGCCUCCAUGUCUCGCUCUGGCCAGGCAGAUGUGGUGUGCCAACGGUACGCAGAGUCCAGACCCUGAGCAGAAGAGCAACUGAGGAGAGAGGCUGCCCUGGGUGAGACAGGAGAAGUGCCCCUUGAAGCGGGGGACGCCCCGCUGGUGCUGCCUCUCGCAUCCACCGGCAGCGCGUUCCUUCUCUCUCCUUGCCGCCCGGCGCUUUGCCGUCUCCCAGGGCUCGCCAAGUCCAAAUGUUGCCUGAUGGAGUCCAACUCCGGCUUGACCAACACUCACCCCAUCUGUCCCCGCACCAGCUGGCUUAGGGCUCCCCAGCACUGCUGGCUGUCGGUGCCUGCUGUCGCUCCCAGUCAGCAUGGCUCUGUUCCUUGCUUUUGGGGUUCCAGAGCUGUUUGCUGUUUGCUACGGUUAUGGAGUGUUUCUCUUCUCUCUCUUCUUCUCUUCCAUCUUGGCCGUUGGCACCUCGGUGGAGUUCCGGUGACCCAAAUGCAGACUGCUCUGCGUUGACCAAGUGUGAUGCCAAGAGAAGAGGCAGGCUCCAAAACAGGCUGCUGGUGAGUGCUGUGCAUGACUCGGGGUUCCUAGAAUGCCCACUCUUUCUUACUAACCCGUGUUGUUCAGCACCAAAUGUGAAGGCUGCUUCUUUCCUUCCAGGACUGGAGACUCCACCACCAGGUGCCGUUGUCAUUCUUGACCUCCCCGGGUUGCGGCGCUGGACGUGCCCUGAUCCUUGGAAAGGGGUAAGAGAGCUGUAUUUCAUUAGCAGCAGGUGAUCUCUACUUACCUUGUCUUGUGUCCAACAGGUGGCAGUGGAGAGUUGUGACACUCCCUGAGCACUGCAAGGACUCUACUGAGGCUCUUGGUGGACACAGCAAGAACUCCCACCCAUAGAUGGAUGCCAAGAUCCGCUCCUUCUUCUGUCUGGCAAGCUCUGCUGACCCCUGAGGUCGUUCCCACGCUUGCAGAGGUUCUAUGGGCUUGGUGUCGCUUGUUGCUUGUGCUCACCUUGCUGUCACCGCGUGUUCUUCCUUUGCCCAUCUUUAGGGGUCCCCCAUUCUGACGGGAUCUCCGUGCCUUCUGCUGAUCCCAGAGAGCAUGGGUUUGUUCUCUUAUAGCCAGGUUCAGUAUCAUUUUUUCAUGUUACGCAUUCUUUC